GAAAAAUGAGGCGAUGUUUGGAUUACAGAUUGAGAGAAAUGAGAUAAUUAGAAGACGAGAGAAAGAACUAAAUUAUCAAAGCUUAUACGCUACACGAAAUGACAUCAAAGGGUAUAUGCAUUGACCAACUCCAUGACCUUAUUUGAUCAGAUUACAAUCAAAGAAAUACUCAGGAAUCCGUUUUAUAUUGUUGUGAAGGCAAACCAACACCCAUGACCAUGGCUAUUAACAUGAAAUGCUCACUCACAAAGCUUAUGUUAAUGAACAAGUUCACUCCAAGAUAAGAGUGGUGUUAUUUAAGGGGCAAGCUUAAGGAGGACAACAUGUUGUACUUGGGAUGU